AACGAACGCUGGCGGCAUGCCUAACACAUGCAAGUCGAACGAGACCUUCGGGUCUAGUGGCGCACGGGUGCGUAACGCGUGGGAACCUGCCCUUAGGUUCGGAAUAACUCCCCGAAAGGGGUGCUAAUACCGGAUAAUGUCUUCGGACCAAAGAUUUAUCGCCUUUGGAUGGGCCCGCGUUGGAUUAGCUAGUUGGUAGGGUAAAAGCCUACCACGGCGACGAUCCAUAGCUGGUCUGAGAGGAUGAGCAGCCACACUGGGACUGAGACACGGCCCAGACUCCUACGGGAGGCAGCAGUGGGGAAUAUUGGACAAUGGGCGAAAGCCUGAUCCAGCAAUGCCGCGUGAGUGAUGAAGGCCUUAGGGUUGUAAAGCUCUUUUACCCGGGAUGAUAAUGACAGUACCGGGAGAAUAAGCUCCGGCUAACUCCGUG
rnacentral:rRNA from 1 species